rnacentral:sRNA from 1 species
UUGAGAUUUCAUUGGUAGCGCCAACAAA